UGUCUGGUGGUCCAGUGGCUAGGACUCUGCACCCUCAAUGCAGGGGGUCCAGGUUUGAUCCCUGGUCAAGGAA
rnacentral:tRNA from 1 species